GCUUCGCGGAAGCCGCUGCUGUGGCUUUUUUAAAAGGAUGGGGUCUAGAAGUUUCCUUUGCUACUCGCAAGUCUCCACUCCCCCCAGCCCCGCGGUGGAUAAUCCUAGACCUUUCAGCUCCCCCCACCCCUUUCUUUUGCUCUCGCCGACUAAGAGGUUGAGUUGCAGGUUGGCUACAUUUUGUAUAUUUGGAAACGUACAAAGUACUCUGAAUUUCAUGAAAUAUUUUGAGGCAAAGUUGGACUGGAAUGUCCCCAAAUAUGGUAGAGCAAAUAGCACAUCUGCCAGAGAAAGAUCCUACACUUUAAAGAGAAGAAGCAGACAACUUCCUGGUGAAUUUAGGACUGCUUGAUGGUGUCGCAAUUUUAUUUGUUGAGUUAAUGAAACCAUUAGAGCCAUUCUUCCCGAUCUGGCCAGCUAAGUUAAAAAUAAAUAAAUAAAUAAAAGGCGACAAA
rnacentral:sRNA from 1 species